rnacentral:tRNA from 1 species
CCUCCAAACCUGAGGAGCUAGUCUAACCCAAGACCCCUA